GACAGAGGGUGCAAACGUUGCUCGGAAUUACUGGGCGUAAAGCGCGUGUAGGUGGAUUGGUGUGUCAGAUGUGAAAUCCCUGGGCUCAACCCAGGAACUGCACCUGAAACUACCAGUCUUGAGUGGUGGAGAGGGAAGUGGAAUUCCUGGUGUAGAGGUGAAAUUCGUAGAUAUCAGGAGGAACACCAGUGGCGAAGGCGGCUUCCUGGACACCAACUGACGCUGAGACGCGAAAGCGUGGGGAGCAAACAAG
rnacentral:rRNA from 1 species